AGAAAAGAAGGGUUUUUGAAGAAGAUAGUGAAGAACAAGCCAUUGUUAUAUUUCAAAUAACAUAAAGGUAUGAGAGUAGUAUUCUAAUCUAGGGUGAUUCAUAGAAAGAGGAGAAAACCCAUUUUCUCCAUCCCAAUCUUUCUACACUCUUUUUCUUUAGUAUUGGAUCUUUGAGAUUUAUUUAUGAAAAUGAAACCUUUUUGAUUAGUCGAUGUAUAUGUUACUCAUAACUAAUUAGAAGUAUGAAUUGAUGGGAUAAAAAUUGGAAAUUUGUAGAUGCUUGUUAAGCUUUUGACAGUUUACGAGUUUUGUAUAAAAUGGAUGAAUCUCAUGAAUCUUGCAAGAGUUGAAGUUAAUUCGUGUUUAUAUGCUUAAAGUUAUGAUUUUUAUGCUUUAUUGUUAGAAUUGAUGAUUUUGGGGUUUUCUAAGUGAGAACCCGAGAACAGAGUUUCUGUUUUCUGGUCUACUCGCUUAGCGAUGUUGAAUCAAAAUUGAUUUGUUAAUCUCUCUAUAUGGUUUUGAUAAUAACAAAGUAUUUAAAGGACAAUUGGUGUUACUAAUGAUUUGCUUAAGUCUGCAGGUUUAAAGAAGACAUUCAUUGUACAGUCUUAAGCAAAGAGUAUCCAAAAGAAGCAAGCUCGCUAAAACGCCUAUGAAGAAUUCUGCCUACAAGUCUUAAGAAGCGGACUCUUGAAGCAUAAGGCAGACUCUGAAUGCUCUGCCUCUGAUUGUUACCUUUGUAAGACCAUAAGCUAUCUUAAAAGGUUCUGACUUUUGGAAAGGAUAAAGCAGAAAACCAAUUGUCUAGUCAAUUGUACUUUCCUAUUUUAUCAUAGACAGUUAUACAAUGAAAGAAAGGAGCAGAUAUUAUCCAAAAAGCAAAGUUUCAACACGAUCGUUGCAGACAAAGUCCAACAACUCUCUGCAACUCACAAGGCUCAAUGCAAAACUCCUACAACAGCUUCUCCAAUGGAUACAUUUCUUGUAACCGCGCUUAAAUUGCGAGCACCUCUGAUUAUAUAUCAAGUGUUCAUUUGUAAUCUAUCUUAACUUGGUUAAGUUAGAAGAAGUCUCUUGAUGUUAUGCUUGAGCAAAGAGAAGUCUCGUGUACGUAGUACUUUAGCAAGGAAGUCAUAGGUCGAGGUCUGGGCAAGGAAGACCUAAGUAGGUGUACUUGGACAACGAAUUCCUUAGCAAGGUGCUAGGGCAUUUAUAAUCAUUUGUGAUUAUAGUGAAUUCCCUUAAAGAGUCAAAGGCAUUGGACUACUCUCGUUAAUGGGAGGAAUUAGUAUAAAAAAUGUUGUGUGUUUUCUUCUCUCUCUAUAUCUUGUUAUUAAUUGAGUAAUAUUAGAGAAUAAAC
rnacentral:lncRNA from 1 species